CCAUUUACGGUCGGCUACACAUGCAGUCGAGCGGCAGCGGAAAGUAGCUUGCUACUUUGCCGGCGAGCGGCGGACGGGUGAGUAAUGUCUGGGAAACUGCCUGAUGGAGGGGGAUAACUACUGGAAACGGUAGCUAAUACCGCAUAACGUCGCAAGACCAAAGAGGGGGACCUUCGGGCCUCUUGCCAUCAGAUGUGCCCAGAUGGGAUUAGCUAGUAGGUGGGGUAACGGCUCACCUAGGCGACGAUCCCUAGCUGGUCUGAGAGGAUGACCAGCCACACUGGAACUGAGACACGGUCCAGACUCCUACGGGAGGCAGCAGUGGGGAAUAUUGCACAAUGGGCGCAAGCCUGAUGCAGCCAUGCCGCGUGUAUGAAGAAGGCCUUCGGGUUGUAAAGUACUUUCAGCGGGGAGGAAGGCGUUGAGGUUAAUAACCUCAGCGAUUGACGUUACCCGCAGAAGAAGCACCGGCUAACUCCGUGCCAGCAGCCGCGGUAAUACGGAGGGUGCAAGCGUUAAUCGGAAUUACUGGGCGUAAAGCGCACGCAGGCGGUCUGUCAAGUCGGAUGUGAAAUCCCCGGGCUCAACCUGGGAACUGCAUUCGAAACUGGCAGGCUAGAGUCUUGUAGAGGGGGGUAGAAUUCCAGGUGUAGCGGUGAAAUGCGUAGAGAUCUGGAGGAAUACCGGUGGCGAAGGCGGCCCCCUGGACAAAGACUGACGCUCAGGUGCGAAAGCGUGGGGAGCAAACAGGAUUAGAUACCCUGGUAGUCCACGCCGUAAACGAUGUCGACUUGGAGGUUGUGCCCUUGAGGCGUGGCUUCCGGAGCUAACGCGUUAAGUCGACCGCCUGGGGAGUACGGCCGCAAGGUUAAAACUCAAAUGAAUUGACGGGGGCCCGCACAAGCGGUGGAGCAUGUGGUUUAAUUCGAUGCAACGCGAAGAACCUUACCUACUCUGACAUCCAGAGACUUAGCAGAGAUGCUUGGUGCUUCGGGACUCUGAGACAGUGCUGCAUGGCUGUCGUCAGCUCGUGUGUGAAAUGUGGGUAGUCCGCACGAGCGCACCCUAUCUUUGUGCAGCGUCCGCCGUACUCAAGAGACUGCAGUGAUAACUGAGAGGUGGAUGACGUCAGUCAUCAUGCUACCAGUAGGCUACCACGUGCUACAUGGCGCAUACAAAGAGAAAGC
rnacentral:rRNA from 1 species